CCGCUUUUUGGAGUCGUAUACCCUUCACUGCUUUUGUUCUCCCAUUUCCAACGAGUCCGCGCUUCCGAGAAGAGGUUGGUCAGCCUGCGAAGGGAACCAAUACGAGGCAAAGCGCGGAGCCGUCCGACUGUAAGCCACAUGCGAAGCCCCGUCCACUCUUGGGAUACUCGGCACGCCAUAGCAACAUAAACGGACUACUUUUUUGUCUUCUUGUUGGAGUUUUCCCACGCUUUUUCAUCUUCCACCAUCCAUACCGACUGCUUCUGCGAACUCAACAAGAUGGAGAACGACGAUAAAUAUCUUCCCGAACUGCUGGCGGAGAAGGACAGCUUGGACUCGUCAUUUACACACGCCAUGAAACUUUUAAGCGCAGAAAUCGAUAGAGUGCAGAAAGGAGAGCCGAAGAAGGAGACGGAGACCUACCUGGACCUUUUCACAACAAAGAACAUCAAACUCAAGGAGCGAGUGCUCAUACCUGUCAAACAGUACCCAAAGUUCAAUUUCGUGGGGAAGAUCCUGGGACCCCAGGGCAACACGAUCAAGCGUCUGCAGGAGGAGACUGGCGCCAAGAUCUCCGUGCUGGGCAAGGGGUCCAUGAGAGACAAAGCCAAGGAGGAGGAACUGAGGAAAGGCGGCGAGCCCAAGUAUGCCCACCUGUCCAUGGAGCUGCACGUCUUCAUCGAGGUGUUCGCCCCUGUGCCGGACGCUUACCUGCGCAUGGCGCACGCCAUGGAGGAGGUCAAGAAGUUCCUGUUUCCUGAUAUGAUGGAUGAUAUCUGCCAGGGCCAGUUCAUGGAGAUGAGCUACCUGAACGGAGGCCAGGAGCACGGAGGCAGAGGCCGAGGGGGCAUGCCUGUCAGGGGCCGUGGUGUCCCCCCUGCUGGAGCACACAGGGGGAGAGGGAUGCCUCCUCACGGUGUUGCGGCCAGAGGAGGUGUGACUCGAGGAGGCCCAGCCAGGGGCGGAGCAGUGAGGGGCGCCCCCGCAGGCAGAGGAGGACUUCCUACUGCCCCCGCCAGAGGGGCCGUGGCACCACGCGCCAGACCCCCGGCUGGCGGCCCGCCUCAGAGGAUGGCGCCGCCUCCUGCUCACCAGCACACAGCUGGCGCCGGUGCAGAGAACUACGACGAAUACGGUUACGACGAGAGCUACACAGACACAGCCUACGAGUCUUACGACAGCUAUUACAGCCAGCCGCAGGCAGAACCAGAAUAUUACGACUAUGGACACGGAGAGACGACCGAGUCGUACGAGUCAUACGAACAUGAGGAGAUAUGGCAAAGCCCCUGGGCCCAGGACGACUGGAACGGCACCCAGCGGACGGCUCCAGGGAAAGCGCCUCCCCCCUCUAGAGGCGGCAGCACGGCUUACCGGGAGCACCCCUACCGACAGUACUGAAGUGAAACGGACCCUCUCCACCCUUAGUGUUGCCCCGAUAAAUCGCCCGUUACCACGGCAGCUCUCGCUUUAUCAAGCCUGACAAAAGGACGGCUACUGGUCACCGAGCGUCCAGAGAGACGGUCUGCUGGAGACCAACGAGCCUUCAGCAGAGAAAGUGGAGCAGGUCGCCGUGAAGAAGGUGGUCAGAUGAAACUCAGGGGCAUCCCAACGGGGAGGAAAGAGCGCAAAGAUGGCCACCGAGUCGGGGCCAAAGGCAGAAGCUGUCCCUCAGAAACACCAAGAACCUUCUGUGAACUUUUGAGUCGUACUGGUGAAUUAGUGUAAUUAUUUUCUUAUCUUCGAAGACUUUCGAAUGCUUCCGUUCACAUUUCCUCUCCUCUGGUGCCUAAUGUAGCAGAAAAUGAGCACUCCUUUAUAUAGAACGCUGUGAAAUUGUUUUUAAUUUUCAUUAACCCCCCUGUAUCCGACCUGAAACACUUCCUUUUGGCUUUGACUGAGGCACAUAGUCAUACUCACUUCGAAUACAUUUUUUUUAUUAGGGAAUCAUCUUUUAAAUUUCAUGCCUCAUUGUUGAUGAUGAAAUUACACUCAGCAGUUUGAGAUGGGGAGCGUGUGAAUCUGGAGAUGUCCGACGCCAACGCAGAAGCGCGUUUUGCAUCCAGACGCCGUCCUGUUCUCAUCGCUUUCACAUCUAGAUCGUUAGAAUUCAGCGAGACGACUGAGCAGCCGAGCCAGAGGGAAAAGGAGGAUGGGGGGCGAGAAACAAAGACGGUCAUCACCAGCAUCCUCCUCUCAUCCAUCCAUCCGUCCAUCAUGUUUCUGUUGAUUCGAUCUGCUGUUUUCAGCCAUCAUCACUGAUGACAUUACAGCAGCCCGUGGUGCCGAGUUACACUCGGAGGUCAAAACUCUACUUUCCCGUAUUAAAAACAAAUUUCCCGGUGUUGAUCCGUUGGUCAGAGGCAGCAUUAGCUCCUUUCGGCUUAUUGGAAAAAGCCUCUGCUGAACGUUGGACAUCAGGACUGGGAGAGAAAGGAGAAAAAAAAACAUGACUGGAGAUGAAACAUCAACGGAGCCAUAUCCAAAACACACCAUUUUUCAGUCUUUAUGCGCUAUUACGUCUCGAGUAAUGAUCCCCACGUCUCCUAUAAUCUAAUGCCAGAUAAGUGAUGGUGUGGAAGCAGUCUCGUUUGGGAAUCGACAAACUGUCAGGAAGCAUAAGGGCGGAGAGGAAAGUAAACGUUACCGGGGUGCCGAUCGAUGAAAGGUAGACUUUUGAAUAUGAGCCGGGCCGCGGAUCCGUCGCUUUUCCUCUCUGCCCACGUCCGACGGGUCGGCGGCGCCUCGCCGAGGGUGGGAUGUGUUAAAAUGCAGAGCGGACAGCUGGAUCGCUUCCCCCUGGCCUUGACGGAUUCACACCAUCAGAAGAACAUCACAUGCUGAUGCCUGUUAAAAAAAAAAAGAAGGAAAAAAGGUGACAGUGAAGCUCUCUUCCAGACGCAGCAGGACGGGGCAGUAAUCUGGGAGUGGGAGGGGGACUUAAUGUAUGCCCGCUUCAUGCCUGGUGUCCUUGAUGGUCCAGGGAAACUGCAGGAAAACCUCUGAAGAUUUAUAUGGCUGGAUUCUAUUAAUAAAUACUGUGAGUGUGUGUGCGCGCGCGCGCACCGUUUACACCAGGUAUGGGGGAAAUAAAUGCUAGUCUGAAAGAUACAAGGUGGAGGUCAGAGGCUUUAUUAAUUGUGAAUCCUAAUAAACAAAAAUAAGGUUAUUUUAUUUUCAUGUCAUAAUGUGCUGCCAAGAGCCAAACCUGCAAUUUGUGAUUGCGUUCUUUUUUUUUUUUUUUCUUACAUUCCAGCUGCAAAUGUCGGUGUUUUAUGUAAUAAACACAAAGCGUAUAACUAUGAAGAGGAAUGAAAAUUGUAAAAUUUUCUGAAUAAAACUCUCAAAAGUGCUUUGUGUUUGGUGAUCCCCCUUUACUCUGAUGUACCUAAAUAAAGGUGCUCUGAAGUAA